rnacentral:ncRNA from 1 species
UAAUUGAAGAGUUUGAUCAUGGCUCAGAUUGAACGCUGGCGGCAGGCCUAACACAUGCAAGUCGAGCGGCAGCGGGAAGUAGCUUGCUACUUUGCCGGCGAGCGGCGGACGGGUGAGUAAUGUCUGGGAAACUGCCUGAUGGAGGGGGAUAACCACUGGAAACGGUGGCUAAUACCGCAUAACGUCGCAAGACCAAAGUGGGGGACCUUCGGGCCUCAUGCCAUCAGAUGUGCCCAGAUGGGA